GCCGGCAUAGCUCAGUUGGUAGAGCAACCGCCUUGUAAGCGGUAGGUCCUCAGUUCGAGUCUGAGUGCCGGCACCA
rnacentral:tRNA from 1 species